CUGACGCCUUAUAUACAAGGCGUCGGCUCUGCCGACUAUGGCGAUAAACGCGCUAUGAAAUAAGCGUCAUGGACCCGGGGGCAGUGCCCGGCGCCUCCACCAAUCUCCAGCGGUCUUGGCUGCGGUGUGCGGGGGCGAAACAGGUUCGACAUGCGUGGUAAAGAUAGGGUCUUCGCUCGGCAUGGUACCGCCGUUAUCGGGCCAAAAGCAUAGUUGCCAAUGACAACUACGCGGAGACAGCGCUCGCUGCGUAAGCGGCUAGCAGUCUCACUCUAGGCCCCAGGCGGUCGCACGUCUGGGCGGGGUUCGGAGCGCACCUGGCAACAGAAGCGCUCCAC
rnacentral:tmRNA from 1 species